UUGUUGCAGUUAAAAGCUCGUAGUUGGAUUUCGGAAGGUCCUUAGUAAUCCGCCCCUUCGGGGAGCGGGUUACUGGCCUCCUAUGUUCCUAACGGUCCUCAUCCGCGAGGGUGGGGAAUCAACCGCUAGGAUCGUUUACUUUGAGGAAAUUAGAGUGUUCAAAGCAGGCGUAACUCGCCUCCGAAUACGUUAGCAUGGGAUAAUGGAAUACGACUUCGGUCUUGUUUCGUUGGUUUCGCUUGGCUGAAGUAAUGAUUGAUAGGGACAGUUGGGGGCAUUAGUAUUUAGUUGUCAGAGGUGAAAUUCUAGGAUUUACUAAAGACUGACCAAUGCGAAAGCAUUUGCCAAGGAUGUUUUCAUUAAUCAAGAACGAAAGUAGGGGGAUCGAAGACGAUCAGAUACCGUCGUAGUCUCUACCGUAAACUAUGCCGACCAGGGAUCCGGAGAGUUUGCAUGGAUGACUCCCCGGGCACCUUGUGAGAAAUCAUAAGUGUUUGGGUUUUGGGGGGAGUAUGGUCGCAAGGCUGAAACUUAAAGGAAUUGACGGAAGGGCACCACCAGGAGUGGAACCUGCGGCUUAAUUUGA
rnacentral:rRNA from 1 species